UGCUUUUGCUGUGUGAUAGGCACAAAUAUCGGGUACCCUCAAUACCCAUAUGUCAACAGCCUUUUAACUUACAAACACAUUGUAGCACUUUGUUGCAAUGGGAGUCAAAAUACGCGCUCUCUCCGGCCACCCAGUACUGCAAAGAGAGACAACACCGAUCCAACAACAAGGGACUGAGAGCCGAGCGAAAGUUCAACGAAAAUCGCCAAUACGAACUCAGACGAAGACGCAUUUGGGAGAAGCAUACAAUAUUUGAUUGUAACUUGCGCGCAUAAACAGUCCGGCCCAAGUGCAAGCGAGCAUCCACUUGAAGGGCAGCAAAACAUAAUUGCAUAGUCAGCGAUCUCACGCUGUCCAAAAGCGCUGACCGCAUUCACAUAUGUGUGCCUAUAGCACUCCUCCUACGCCAGCACCGUCGGCGCUCGAAUAUAUAUAAGAUAUAUAUAUAUAUAUAAGACGCUGCGCUGCAGGCUAUGCCGGAAGCGCUGCUCCUCGACUUAGGCUAAGAACCCUUUAUACUGUAGAUCCAAAAAACUCUUACAAAAGAUACUUAGAUUGGAGCGGGACCUUGUCUGCUCCAAUCCCUCUCUGAAUAAAAAUAUGUAUAGAAUUCA